GCUCAUUUAUAUUCUCAUAUGCAUUCAUUUUGUGCAAACACUCCCAUUUAAUUUAAUUAGUAAUCCUCUUACAAGCUAGGUGCAUAAACAUUACUCCAAGUCCAAGCCUCCAAAUAAGCAACACAAAAUAAACAUUGCUCCAAGCCUCCAAAUAAGCAACACAAAAUAAACAUUGCUCCAAGCCUCCAAAUAAGCAACACAAAAUAAACAUUGCUCCAAGCCUCCAAAUAAGCAACACAAAAUAAACAUUGCUCCAAGCCUCCAAAUAAGCAACACAAAAUAAACAUUGCUCCAAGCCUCCAAAUAAGCAACACAAAAUAAACAUUGCUCCAAGCCUCCAAAUAAGCAACACAAAAUAAACAUUGCUCCAAGCCUCCAAAUAAGCAACACAAAAUAAACAUUGCUCCAAGCCUCCAACUCUCCAAAGUCCAAAUGAAUAACACAAAAUAAACUUUGCUCCAACUCCAAGUCUCCAAGUAAACAACACAAAAUAAACAUUACUCCAAGUCUCCAAACAAACAACACAAAAUAAACAAUCAAACAUUACUCAAAGUCUCCAAAUAAAUAAACAACACAAAAUCACAAAAUAAAUAUUAUCAUUAUAUCAUCCAACAAUAAAAUAAACCAAAAUAAAAAUUAUCAUCCAAAAACAUUUAGUCAUUUAGCUUAUUUUUUUAAUUUUCAGUUUUUUUUUUUAGUUUACAAUGCAAAUCCGAUCGGAUGAUUCGGAUUGAUCCGAAUCCGAUCCGAUCCGAACCAAAUCCGAUCGGAUUGCACAAAUUUCAUCCAAUCGGAUUUGCCUUCAAAUCCGAAUCCGAUCC
rnacentral:lncRNA from 1 species